AGUGUCCAAUGCGGGAAUCGAACCCGGGUCAUAGUGGUCGAAAACCAAACGUUUAACCAGCCUUCCACCGACCCCCGUAGUAAACUAUAAACAU
rnacentral:tRNA from 1 species